rnacentral:lncRNA from 1 species
UGGCUGAUCCCUUUCGUUGUAUGGCGUGCUCAUUUGGGUUGGGUGUCGGCUAAGAGUGCUCAGAGCGUGGAUUAACUCCAGUCUCCUAUCAGGUGUGUAUUUCACACUACUUUAGUUGUAGGAUGGCUACUUCGGGCAGCGAUGGGCCGAAAGGGGCCAUGUGGGCCCAAUGGGCCUACGAGCCCAAUUAGAUAAGUUGUUUGAUUGUGUAGUAAAUAUUGGACUAGGCUAGGUGAAUCUCAUAUUUGUGGCUAGAUUUGGGCUAAAAGGGCCACACGAGCGUGUGGGCCCAUUUGGGCCGAGAAUGGGCUUUAAGGCCAUUCGUAUUGUUAUCCCUAUUUAGAAUACUUUAAUUUACCAAUUAUAGAAAUGCCCUCGACUUGUAAAAUUACCAAAGUACCCUCGAUUUAUAAAAUUACUAUUUUAUCCUUGAUUUACAGAAUUACUGUUUUACCCUUGAUUUACAAAAUUACCAUUUUACCCUCGACUGUGAAAUUACUAAAAUACCCUUAUAGGGUAGAAUUACCAAAAUACCCUUAGUUUGUAAAAUUACCAAAAUACCACUGGUUUAUGAAAUUAUCGAAAUACCCUCAAUUUGUAAAAUUACCAAAAUACCCCUAAUUUACACAAUUACAGAAAUACCCUUGACUUUUUAGAAUUUAUAGAAAUACCAUUGGUUUACAAAAUUACUAAAAUACCCUUGUUUUGUACAUUUACAAAAACACCCUUGUAGUAUGAAAUGACUAAAAUACCCCUAAUAGGUAAAAAGACCGUAAAGCCUCUGUAGGGUAAAGUAACCAUAAUACCCCUGUAUGGUAAAAUGAUAAAUAUGCCCUUAUGUUCCGUAUGACUGAUGUGUUUAGGAUUUACAUAUAUUGAUAUUGGAUUAGUUAAGUUUGAGUGAUAGGUGGUGGUUAUCGUAGGUGAUUGAUUUUAGAAACGUUUGAACUUCAACCCAUAACAGGUGUGUAAUAACCCUCGCGUAGCUUAGAUUAAUACUCGCCGAAAAGCCGAAAUGCUAAAAUUUUGGCAUUUCGAAACUUGUGAUUUUGCCUUUGCUUAAAGAUACAAUAGAUAUGAUAUUAUCGGUGUUUGAAUCGAUGGAGCAGGUAAGAGCGUAAUUUUGUGCACGAUGGUAAGUUGGGCCUCAAUGGGCUGGAAUCGGGCCCAAUGGGCUUUCGGGCCCAUUUGGGUAAAACUGAUAGAAAAUGGAAUCUGGAAAAGUUUCAUGUUAACACGGUUAGUACUAUUGUAAAAUUUGGAUUAAGCAGGCUCAGUGGGCUAAAUAAGCGUUUGUAGGGCCCAUUAGGGGUUUUGGGCCCAAAAGCCCGAAUUUGAUAAAGUGGGUCAAAGAUCAUUGUUUAAACACUCGAAAAUAUUGAUAAUUGUUAAUGAACAUGGAAAACCCUGAUAUUUGGUAAAAUUAUGAAAUUACCCUUAUAAUAUGAAAAAUGACUGUUUUUGCCCUUGUGGGCAAGUGACUGACUUGGACUGUGUGGUUGAUAGAUUUGAUUGUGAAUAUAUGUUGGUGAUAUGAAUGACUUGACUGUGAUUGUUUGAUUCAAAUAUGGGCAUGACAUUCUGCAUACGUGACAUGUUGCAUGGGUUGGGUUUUAUAAAUGGAGGAAGUCCUAAAAGGGCUAUGCCCCAGUUUAUCGAAAAGGGCUUUGCCCCAGUUUAUCAAAAAGGACUUUGCGCCAGUUAUUAAAAGAGGCUAGUCCUCCAGUUAUAUGAUCAACCAGCUAUGCUGCCAGUGGAGAGUUUGGUUGGGUGGGUUGAGUUAUUCCCCACAUGGUGUGUUGGUUGGUACGGGUGGAGAGUAGCGGAUGGUGGGUUGAGUAGUCUCCCCAAAUGGGCUUGCAUACAUUCAUUGAUAUUACAUGUGAUAUUGAAAUGGGCCUAUGGGCCAUACCGCUUACAGUAAAGGCUUCGGCCAGUGAUAUGAUUUAUGAAAAGGCUUCGGCCUAGUAUAUGUCGAGACUGAAUUAGGGCUUAGGCCCAUAUUGAUACUGUUUAAGGGCUAAGGCCCAGACUUUACUGUUACUGAAUAGGGCUUUGGCCCAGAUUGUACUGACACUGUGUUAUUCACUGUUUGUUUGUUUUUGGGGAUUACACACUUAGUUUUGUAAACUCACCCCGUUUCUAACUGUGCAGGUAUUCCCUAAGCUUAGAUGGUUUGGAGCUCGAGGGACUCGGAAAUGGCCACACUACUGUUACUGUUUCUUUUAAUUGCAAUAAGUAACCUAUUUUUUUAUAGGUUUUAUCUUUAGUAAUAUUAUUAUUUGGUUUUGGGUUGUAAUAAGGCCAUUUUAAUUAUUUUUCUGGGAUUAUUUUAUUUUAUACCCUAUGUUUUACUGAUAACAAUCCAAAAUGGGUUAGACUGAGGGCGCGUUUCCAAAAUGAUAAUUGUUUUCAAAAUAACGC